AGUGAACGCUGGCGGUAGGCCUAACACAUGCAAGUCGAACGGCAGCACAGUAAGAGCUUGCUCUUACGGGUGGCGAGUGGCGGACGGGUGAGGAAUACAUCGGAAUCUACUUUUUCGUGGGUGAUAACGUAGGGAAACUUACGCUACUACCGCAUACGACCUACGGGUGAAAGCAGGGGAUCUUCGGACCUUGCGCGAUUGAAUGAGCCGAUGUCGGAUUAGCUAGUUGGCGGGGUAAAGGCCCACCAAGGCGACGAUCCGUAGCUGGUCUGAGAGGAUGAUCAGCCACACUGGAACUGAGACACGGUCCAGACUCCUACGGGAGGCAGCAGUAGGGAAUAUUGGACAAUGGGCGAAAGCCUGAUCCAGCCAUACCGCGUGAGUGAAGAAGGCCUUCGGGUUGUAAAGCCCUGUUGUUGGGAAAGAAAAGCAGCAGGUUAAUACCCCGCUGUUCUGACGGUACCCAAAGAAUAAGCAACGGCUAACUUCGUG
rnacentral:rRNA from 1 species